CCGAUCCCGCCCCCAGCGACGCCGGAAUUCCCCGAGCGAGGUCCGAUAGACCACAGGCGCCGGUCUCCCACACGCCGCCGCACCUUCGGGUUCCAGCCUCACUGCCUGCGACAACCCGGCUCCGCACGACCUUUUAAAGGUAGCUUUUCUGAGCUCAAGGUGAGACACGUGUCCUCCUAAAACUCAAGGUAAGUCGAAAUUUGUCCAGGUUAUCAGACCUCAAAAGUCUGAGAAACUACCCCACACCUGGAGAGUUCAUCCUCUGGUCCCCUAGUUAUCAUUGUCCCUAUUACUGGGACCGACCCAUUUCUAAAGGGGCUCACUCAUCACAGCACUCACACUAUCCCUACUUUUACAUUAAAUGCUUUACCACAUGCAAUGCUGUUCCCACAACACAGAUGGAGAAGCAUUCAUCGCUGUGGUUGAAGUGUCCUUUAAAAGUCACUACUUCUUGCUCUAAAGCAUGGCUUUUCUACCGAAGCACUCAGUACCAAAUAACUGUUCAACAAAGAAAAUGGCAUUUUGAUUAGUAAAGAACAGUCAUGUGGCUGAGUGAUAGUGACCCACGCCUUUAAUGCCAGCACUCGGGAGGCAGAGGCAGACGGAUCUCCGUGAGUUCGAUGCCAGCCUGGUCUAUAGAGCAAGUUGCAGGACAGCCCGGACUACACUGUUAUCAAAACAAAACAAAACAACAGAAACAAAAGUCACUUGAAAUACUGUGAAGCAAAUGAAAAUUUGUGCCCAGAUUUAGAACUGGAGUUUAUAAAUUCACUCACAGAAUAAUAUGAUUGUCACAUUAUUUGAAUUGCAGUUUGGCUGUCCAGGUUUCUCUUAAAUUGUACGGCCAGUCUUCAAAUAGGUGUCCUGGCUUCUCUG
rnacentral:lncRNA from 1 species